CCAUACUAUCCCCGUCGCUGCAAAAUCAGCGACCGGGUUUGGCGACCUGGUAU
rnacentral:ncRNA from 1 species